rnacentral:misc_RNA from 1 species
AGCUAAAUGGGAUUUCCUGUUGGGUACACGGAAGUUCUCUUGCCAAAGCUGUUCGUGCACACACUAUCCUUUCUCGGUUUUAUCAGAAGCCUCAUUCUUUGCCUUUUUAACUAUCUGGGUCUCUCAGAUUUCCUUGAAACUGAUAACGUUUGGCCGGACAAUCCGACCCCAAUCCAGAGCCACACACUAGUUUCCGCCUACCUGAUCCGGGAAAUUCUACCCGUAAUAAAGUUCGGCGAUUUGGUCCCCGGAGCCAGCGAAGUUGAGCUGCCGGAGAGUUGUGCCGUUUGUUUGUAUGAGUUUGAGGCAGAUGCCGAGAUCAGAUGGCUGAAGAAUUGUAAGCACAUUUUCCACCGGGCUUGUUUGGACCGUUGGAUGGAUCAUGAUAG